rfam:Stegodyphus mimosarum contig9556, whole genome shotgun sequence.
GCCUUCGUAGUGUAGUGGUCAGCACGCUCGACGCGUAACUGGGAAGUCCGUGGUUCGAUUCCAGGCGAAGGCG